CACAGAAUCCUCAGCACUUUGCAAACGAGGAAAUGAAAACAAAGGAAGGGAGAAAUUAAAAAGCCCGGCAGAAAGGAUAAAACUGGGGACAUCUGAUCUGGAACGCUACCAUUACGGUGCUCUCGUGACAUUCGUACUGCAGUACUGACUUGGGAGGCUGCCCUACUUCAGUCUGAAUGCCUCGAGGUACAGUCAGUGCUUUUGUCCCAUUGCCC
rnacentral:lncRNA from 1 species